rnacentral:lncRNA from 1 species
CCGGGGGGCAGAGCCGGGGUCCCCUGCCGGGAGACGGGACGGGCAGAGAAAAGCCGGGGGGCGGGGCGGCCUCGCCGCGGUGACUCAGCGGCGCGGAGCACCGGGCUGCGACCGGUAUUUCCUGUUCCCCUGCCGCCGCCGCGGUGUUGGUGUGUGCGGGCGUGGGCCGGGGGAGCCGGGCGAAGGCACCCCUGGCCUGGAGGGGCAGCAGCCGCAGGUGGGGGCACGCCUAAAGAGGGGCGCGCCGCCCUCCCCGUCCGGCCGCCACCGCCCCUCCCCUGCGUGCCCUGCCCUCCCCAUCGUUCCCCUCUCCUCCCCACCUGGGGGCGAGGCCGGCACCUGCGGCGGGAGCCCGCCCCGGCGUGGCCGCACCGCCCCCGCCCGCGCCCCGCAGGCAAUCGCCCGACUCGGCGGGAGCGGCCACAGCGGACCCGGACCCAGCCUCAGUCUCGUCCCCAGUCCCAGCCUCGACCCUGCACUCGGAAUCGACGCCCCAGUCGCUGCCCGCUCCGGGGCGGCAGGGCAGGGCAAGGCGCAGUCCCAGCGCCGGGGCGCCUCUGGGACUUCUGCUCCCGCUGCCGGACGCCCUCCGCGAGCAGGCGAGUAUCCCCGCGGGAUGUCCCCGCCCCGAACCCGCGCUCAUCGCCGGUUCCCUGCCCCCGGGCAGGUGCGGUGCCCCUCGGCACCCCCUGUACCCCGCGGCCGGUGCCUCUGCUCCCCGCCCCGGGGGCCGCGCUGCGGCCACGAGCUGCCCGGCUUCUCCUUCUCGUUCCUUUGUGUGCUUUGGCUUUUAUCGCCCUGUUGCCUGCGCUCUUCAGGCGCGCUUUGCCGCCUUUGUCCGCGGAGUCGGACCCGCCGCGCCCCCGCGGGUCCCCCCCAGGCCGGUCUCGCGCCCGCCGCGCACCUGGGCGGCGCGAACAGCCGGGCUCGGCCGGGGAUCGGCUUUUCUCUAACGGGAUUAAGCGGCUCUCGGUGACUUUUUCCGUGAUAAGUACUUUCCGGGAGAGCGCGAUACUACGUGGAAAGCGGGAGAGAUGUCACCGGCGAGUCGGGGUGUUUGUUUACCCGGGUUACUCCCGGGGGUGCCGCUGGGGGGGCGGGUCCCCCGGGCAGCCCACGCCCCCGCUGUCGGGGGCUUGGGCUGCCUUUGUUGCGCAGAGAAUUCCUGAGAUCUUUAUGUUGGCGCGUCCCGGGUGGAUUCCAGCCGUGCCUUGGGCUUUGACUAACUGGGUUAGGGGAAGUUUCAAGUUAACAGGGAACCGUGAAACAAAGGACAGGCAGUUCCAGAAGACAAACGCUUUAAUUGGCCUGUUAAAGUGCCUUGGCAUCGGCCGUGUUUGCGGUGCUGGAACCCAGGUACAUUAG